ensembl:lncRNA
ACGGGGGAUAGAACUGGUGAUGGAGCUAGAACCAAAGCCAAGCCCGGAACAUAUCUUGAGCUCUCAAAACACCCUUCUCUUUAAAACCAUCUGAAAGCAGAGACCUGGAGCUGUGACUGUCUCUGAUGGAGACAGAUGCUUUUUGGAAUUCCCAAAUCUAGCAGGAGCCCAGCGAGAGGGUCUGGCUACUCCCACCCAGAGACCCCAGAGGAAUCUGACGUGGAAGGCGAGCUUUGUGUUACUGGGAAUGUUGGAGAUUCCCUGACCAGGUCCUUGGCUGAGUGUGGGUUGGGGAUGGAGCCCUGCCUGGAAUUACUGAUGCAUCCUAAGAUCUCAGAACUAGCCUGCGUGGUGGCGGUGGGGCCGACCGAGGACAUUUCCCUCUGGUCCUCUCCAGCCUUGGCCCAGAGAACCAAGGCUCAGGGCUUGUCUGGCUGGACCCCAUUUUGGUCCCAGCCCAGCAUCCCUUCAUCAGCUGGGUCCUGGGGAAAAGGGCCCAGCCUGGCCCACACUUGAGGAGGUUUGCCAAAUGUGUUUAGCUGCCACUAAAAGCUUGUAAACUGGGGUGCAGGAUACUGAGGGGCCUGGGCUGGCCCAAGGAUAUGCUGUUUGGAAGUUCCAGAAGUUGCCUGCAGGUUGGGAGGGAGGAAUGUCCCUGCAGAAUCGCAGGCAAGCCUGUCCUGGGGCCGGGCCAGCUUUCCCUUCGAUGGGCCCCUCUGCUCUGGGGGAGCUGUGUGUUCCCUUCUACUCUGGCAGCUUGGGAAAGACCAGAGGCCCUUUCAGGGAAAGGAGAAAGAGGGAAAACAGGCCUGAAAACACUGCAGUGAAAGGCCUAAUUCUGAGCUCCAGCUGCGGACCCAGGCCCAGAGCACAGAUGCAUCCGCUAUUCUGUGAUGAGGACGUGGAGGGUUCUGAAAUAGGUUGUUUAGGGGAGCUGCAGAGCCUCGGUGCUAGAAGGACUUGGAAGAGCAGCUAGUACAGCCCCCUCAUUUUGCUGGGAGGCUAAUCUGAAACAGAGUGGAAUUUGGCAGGGGUUAGGAUGGCUUUUUUCUUUGGAGGCCCCUGUUUCCUGAAAGAGACAGUGUCCGAGAUGAGCUGAUUUCACUCAUUGCCCUCCUGGGUGCAUUUUUUAAAAAAAGAAAAGAAAGCCCUCAGAGGCUUCUCGCCAGAUCUCCCUUCGCACGUUAUCAGGCCAUGCUGAUGAAUGGCUGAGGGAAGCCAGAAACCUAACUCAGGAAAAGAGUGGAAU